rnacentral:rRNA from 1 species
GAUGAACGCUGGCGGCGUGCCUAAUACAUGCAAGUCGAGCGAACAGAUGAGGAGCUUGCUCCUCUGAAGUUAGCAGCGGACGGGUAAGUAACACGUGAACAACCCAUAUAUCAGACUGGAAUAACUUAGGGUAACCGGAGCAAAUACCGGAUAAUAUAUCGAACCGCAUGGUUCAAUAGUGAAAGACGGUUUUGCUGUCACCUAUAGACGGAUCCGCGCCGUAUUAGCUAGAUGGUAAGGUAACGGCUUACCAAGGCAACGAUGCGUAGCCGACCCGAGAGAGUGGUCGGCGACACGGGAACGUAGACACGGACCAGACUCCUACGGGAGGCAGCAGUAGGGAAUCUUCCGCAAUGGGCGAAAGCCUUGCGGAGCAGCGCCACGUGAGUUAUAGCGGUCUUCGGUGCGUAAAACCGUGUUAUGAGGGAAAAACAAAUGUGUAAGUAACUAUGCACAUCUUGACGGUACCUAAACAGAAAGCCACGGCUAACUACGUG